rnacentral:rRNA from 1 species
CCCAAACCCAAUGUGAACGUUACCAAACUGUUGCCUCGGCGGGAUCUCUGCCCCGGGUGCGUCGCAGCCCCGGACCAAGGCGCCCGCCGGAGGACCAACCAAAACUCUUAUUGUAUACCCCCUCGCGGGUUUUUUUAUAAUCUGAGCCUUCUCGGCGCCUCUCGUAGGCGUUUCGAAAAUGAAUCAAAACUUUCAACAACGGAUCUCUUGGUUCUGGCAUCGAUGAAGAACGCAGCGAAAUGCGAUAAGUAAUGUGAAUUGCAGAAUUCAGUGAAUCAUCGAAUCUUUGAACGCACAUUGCGCCCGCCAGUAUUCUGGCGGGCAUGCCUGUCCGAGCGUCAUUUCAACCCUCGAACCCCUCCGGGGGGUCGGCGUUGGGGAUCGGCCCUGCCUUGGCGGUGGCCGUCUCCGAAAUACAGUGGCGGUCUCGCCGCAGCCUCUCCUGCGCAGUAGUUUGCACACUCGCAUCGGGAGCGCGGCGCGUCCACAGCCGUUAAACACCCAACUUCUGAAAUGUUGACCUCGGAUCAGGUAGGAAUACCCGCUGAACUUAAGCAUA